rnacentral:rRNA from 1 species
UACAGAGGUCUCAAGCGUUGUUCGGAUUCAUUGGGCGUAAAGGGCGCGUAGGCGGUGCGGUAAGUCACCUGUGAAAUCUCCUGGCUCAACUGGGAGCUUGCAGGCGAAACUGCCGUGCUGGAGUGUGGGAGAGGUGCGUGGAAUUCCUGGUGUAGCGGUGAAAUGCGUAGAUAUCAGGAGGAACACCUGUGGCGAAAGCGGCUCACUGGACCACAACUGACGCUGAGGCGCGAAAGCUAGGGGAGCAAACAGG